UAGUGUAGCUGAAUAGCUGAUAGGGUCCAGUGCAGGGUGUAGUGUAGUUAGCUUAAAUAUAUAAUCCAUAUAGUUAGUUAGUGGGAGUUAGGAAAUAGUUUAGCUGAUAGUUUCCAGUGCAGGGUGUACUUUAGGUUAGAUAGGGAUAUAGGAUAGUGUCCGUCUGCCUUAGUGUUUUAGUGUCCAGUUUGUGUAGUGAAUGUGAUUAGUGUUUUCGCCUUUUGUCAGU